rnacentral:tRNA from 108 species
GGGUCGUUAGCUCAGUUGGUAGAGCAGCGGACUUUUAAUCCGUUGGUCGCGCGUUCGAGUCGCGCACGACCCACCA